rnacentral:rRNA from 1 species
AUGUCAGCUCUAGCUCUAGCUCUAGUACUGCUCUGCUCGGCGACGAUCAUGGUGGCGCCGGCGGCGGCGGACGUGGAGUCCCACAGCUUCCCCGUCUUCAACGUCACCACGACCGAGAGCCUCUGGGUCGCCACGAACAUGUCCAUCGUCAUGCCCGCAGCGCUCCUCUUCAUGCCCGAGCAGCCGCUUCCCGAGGUCAACGUUUCCGAGGGGUUUCUGCUGCUCCCCAAGAGGAUCGACGUCUGGCGCGCCGGCGCCGGCGCGCUGCCGACACGCGAGGCGUCCUUCAACACGAGCUUCACGGUGGAAAGCUCUGCCCCUCCCGUCUCGUUCGUCCUCCUCCUCGACAGGUUCCCGACACUCAACAACCCCUUGGGCCUCCGCGGCGCUAACGACUCGUGGACGGGCGCCGCGCCCAACGCCACGGACGGCCUCACCGCGGUCGAGGUCGGCACGGUGAGGUCGUACGCGCCAGAGUCCCCGAACGUCGGCCUCAACGUCACCAUCACGCCCAACGGCACCGCGGCGCCUGGCCGCCGCGCCGUGUGGGUCGAGUACAACGCCGUCAAGCACCUCCUGCGCGUGUACGUCGCCGCCGGUGGGGAACCGAGGCCAGCCAGAGCGCUCCUCGACGCGCGGCUGUCCCUCGCUGGCCAAGGCACCACGCAAACCGCGUUGGUUGGCUUCUUCGCCGCCAGAGUCCGCGAUAUCUUCCUCGGUGUUCGUGAUUGGGACCUCAUGGUGGACAGGCUCAACACCAACGGCAAGAAGAAGGGAACGUCCUGGUGGGUGAUACUAAUCGCGGUGCUCGGGUCCGUAGCCGCCACAGCCGCCAUCAUCUCUCUGGUGGUGUGCUCCUUUGUAUCGAGGCGGCGGGCGCGCGAUAUGGAACCCAAGCAAUAG